rnacentral:rRNA from 1 species
AUUUCCUACGGGGGGCAGCAGUGGGGGAUAUUGCACAAUGGGGGAAACCCUGAUGCAGCGACGCCGCGUGAGGGAAGACGGUUUUCGGAUUGUAAACCUCUGUCUUUGGGGACGAAUUGAGACGGUACCCAAGGAGGAAGCUCCGGCUAACUACGUGCCAGCAGCCGCGGUAAUACGUAGGGAGCAAGCGUUGUCCGGAAUUACUGGGUGUAAAGGGUGCGUAGGCGGCUUGGCAAGUCAGUAGUGAAAUCCAUGGGCUUAACCCAUGAACUGCUAUUGAAACUGUCGAGCUUGAGUGAAGUAGG